GCUGGAGCCGCCGCCGCCGCCGCCGCCUUUAAGUGCCGCGUUCACCGCUUCGGUUACCGCCGGCGCCGUAGCCAAGGAGGCCGCUGCCCCCUGGUCGGGAGUGGAGGCCGCGCGGCAUGAAGCGGCGCAGGCCCGGUCCUUAGCGCGCGUCAGGACGGUCCGGGCGGGGCCGGGGGGGGAAGGUGCAGUAUCCGCCCCCUCUCCUUCCCCUUCGCCCGCGAGGCCUGCGCCUCAGCCCACUCGGGCCUCUCCGCCUCACGGAGGAACCGCCCGGCGCAUUCUCCCGGUUAGCCCGCUCUGCGGUUUACCCGGCGCGCCGCCCUGCGCGGGCCACAGCCGGUGGCGGGACCCAACUUGCCGGAAGAGGAAGCCCAGGCUCUCAGAUUCCGAGUCAGCCAACGUUCACUGGGCGCCCCCUGAGCGCUGGGUGCUGGCCUCCGGACUUCCACGUCCGUUAUCUUAAUUGAGCCUUGCUGGGGUUGGGAGCCGGGUAUUGUCCGGGCUUACAGAUGAGAAACGGAAGCCCACAGAGGCGAAGGGAUUUGCCUAAAGUCCGACUGUGGCAGAUCGGAUUCGGACUGAGAUUUUCUGGUUUCCCAGCUUGUGUUUUCUACUGCCCCACUUUAGGUCGAUGCCCUCCUUGUUUACUGGCCCCUUCUCAUUCUAUUUCACCUACCUGGCACAGGAUAGAUGCUUUUCUUUACCUUUUUUUUUUUUUUUUCAAACCUUUCCCCUCACACACUUUUCUUCUAAGACUUGGCAUCCCCCCAGUCCCCCUUCUUAAUAUUCUCUGCUACACCUCUCCUCUUCUUCCGCAUUCUAGCUUUCAAGAUCGUUGCCCACUUUGUGAUAAUGAACCUCUCAACUAGCUGACGACUGAAAUAGCUAGGUUUCAACGAGGCUUGGGGUGUUUAAGUGGACAAACUGGCGCCUGGAUUAAAAAUUAAGGAAUGACAUUUGAGUGGGUCCAAAUUCAAGAGUCCUGAGGCUGUUUUCUAACCCCACAUGCUCUUCUCUGAAUGAGGGGCUUAGUGAAUGGGGAGGUGUCUUGACAUCGUAGUCCGUUGUUGCUGUGUUAGCACAACUUUUUUCCCUCCAUUUGCCACUGAGCCACAUCUCUCUCCAUCACCUAUCUGGGCUCCGAGAGCCCAGAAUUAAAACCGAUAACAAAGUGACAGGUAUAAUCACAGACCCUGCUUUUCUUCUUUUACUAAGCCAGAAUUCCAACGAACUUAACACUUCCGUUUCUAGAGAAGUUACCUAGUUCAGUUAUUUUCAGAGUAUAUGUGGAAAGGAAAUAAGCAAAAAUGGAAGGCACUGAAAAUGGGUAGUACAUUCUUUAUCUUGUGAAAAUCUUGAUGUUAACUGGAAGUUAGUUCUCUCCGCAAAAAUGACUCUGUAGUUCUUACUGGUUAUUCUGUUGAGUCUAUUCUGUCUCCAGUCAGCUGAAUAUGUAUUCUGUAAAAUAAUACAAAUUGGUUAUUAUGUAAAAGGCAGAAGAACAGGACCAGGCACAUAGAAAUAAAUUUUAUUUUCAAGUACUAUUUGAGACUUUAGGCUUAAUCUUUUUGGGCACAUAUGAUCCAUUUUAAUAAUGAUCAACAGCUUUAUAUCUUAUUUCAUUAUCCUGGUGAGCAGGAUUGGAUGGUGAGAAAAGGAAAGACUCCUGUGAGAAGAGAGCAGGAUGAGCAGAGGGAUCUAUGCUUGAAGUUGAGUCACUUCAAAAAGAUCUCUUUGAAUGUGGAAGAGAUCUGAACAGAUGAAAAUACAAUCAGGAAAAUGCAACAUGGCAGCAGCGAUGGAAACAGAACAGCUUGGUGUUGAGAUCUUUGAAACUGCAGAGUGUGAGGAGAAUAUUGAAUCACAGGAUCGGCCUAAAUUGGAGCCGUUUUAUGUUGAACGAUAUUCCUGGAGUCAGCUUAAAAAGCUGCUUGCUGAUACCAGAAAAUAUCAUGGCUACAUGAUGGCUAAGGCACCACAUGAUUUUAUGUUUGUGAAGAGGAAUGAUCCAGAUGGGCCUCAUUCGGACAGGAUCUAUUACCUUGCUAUGUCUGGUGAGAACAGAGAAAAUACACUGUUUUAUUCUGAAAUUCCCAAAACCAUCAACAGAGCAGCAGUCUUAAUGCUCUCUUGGAAGCCUCUUUUGGAUCUUUUUCAGGCAACACUGGACUAUGGAAUGUAUUCUCGAGAAGAAGAACUAUUGAGAGAAAGAAAACGAAUCGGAACAGUUGGAAUUGCUUCUUAUGAUUAUCACCAAGGAAGUGGAACAUUUCUAUUUCAAGCUGGUAGUGGAAUUUAUCACGUAAAAGAUGGAGGGCCACAAGGAUUUACUCAACAACCCUUACGGCCCAAUUUAGUGGAGACCAGUUGUCCCAACAUUCGGAUGGAUCCAAAAUUAUGCCCAGCGGAUCCAGACUGGAUUGCUUUUAUACAUAGCAAUGAUAUAUGGAUAUCCAACAUUGUAACGAGAGAAGAAAGGAGGCUUACGUAUGUGCACAACGAGCUAGCCAACAUGGAAGAGGAUCCAAGAUCAGCUGGAGUUGCUACCUUUGUUCUUCAAGAAGAAUUUGAUAGAUAUUCUGGUUAUUGGUGGUGUCCAGAAGCUGAAACAACUCGCAGUGGCAGUAAAAUUCUUAGAAUUCUGUAUGAAGAAAAUGAUGAAUCCGAAGUGGAAAUUAUUCAUGUUACGUCCCCUAUGUUGGAAACAAGGAGGGCAGAUUCAUUCCGUUAUCCUAAAACAGGCACAGCAAAUCCAAAAGUCACUUUUAAGAUGUCGGAAAUACUGAUUGAUGCUGAAGGAAGGCUUAUAGAUGUCAUAGAUAAGGAACUAAUUCAGCCUUUUGAGAUUCUGUUUGAAGGAGUUGAAUAUAUUGCCAGAGCUGGAUGGACUCCAGAGGGAAAAUAUGCGUGGACUAUCCUACUAGAUCGCUCCCAAACUCGCCUACAGAUAGUGUUGAUCUCACCUGAAUUAUUUAUCCCAGUAGAAGAUGAUGCCAUGGAAAGACAGAGACUCAUCGAGUCAGUACCUGACUCUGUGACGCCACUGAUUAUCUAUGAAGAAACAACAGACAUCUGGAUAAAUAUCCAUGACAUCUUUCAUGUUUUUCCCCAAAGUCAUGAAGAUGAAAUUGAAUUUAUUUUUGCCUCUGAAUGCAAAACAGGUUUUCGUCAUUUAUAUAAAAUCACAUCCAUUUUAAAGGAGAGCAAAUACAAACGAUCCAGUGGUGGGCUGCCUGCCCCAAGUGAUUUCAAGUGCCCUGUCAAAGAGGAAAUAGCAAUUACCAGCGGUGAAUGGGAAGUUCUUGGCCGGCAUGGAUCUAAUAUCCAGGUUGAUGAAGUCAGAAAGCUGGUAUAUUUUGAAGGCACCAAAGACUCUCCUUUAGAACAUCACCUGUACGUGGUCAGUUAUGUAAAUCCUGGAGAGGUGACAAGGCUGACCGACCGUGGCUAUUCCCACUCUUGCUGCAUCAGCCGGCAUUGUGACUUCUUUAUAAGUAAGUAUAGUAACCAGAAGAAUCCACACUGUGUGUCCCUUUACAAGCUCUCAAGUCCUGAAGAUGACCCAACCUGCAAAACAAAGGAAUUUUGGGCCACCAUUUUGGAUUCAGCAGGUCCUCUUCCUGACUAUACCCCUCCAGAAAUUUUUUCUUUUGAAAGCACUACUGGAUUUACAUUGUAUGGGAUGCUAUACAAACCUCACGAUCUACAACCUGGAAAGAAAUACCCAACUGUGCUGUUUAUAUAUGGUGGUCCUCAGACCAAAUCGUUUACUACUCUUACAUGGGUUCUUGGAUGAGAAUGUCCAUUUUGCACACACCAGUAUAUUACUGAGUUUUUUAGUGAGGGCUGGAAAGCCAUAUGAUUUACAGAUCUAUCCUCAGGAGAGACACAGCAUAAGAGUUCCUGAAUCUGGAGAACAUUAUGAACUGCAUCUUUUGCACUACCUUCAAGAAAACCUUGGAUCACGUAUUGCUGCUUUGAAAGUGAUAUAACUUUGACCUGUGUAGAACUCUGGUAUACACUGGCUGUUUAACCAGAUGAGGAGGUUUAAUCAGUAGAGAAUUGAUCAUCACAUUUUGGUACCUGCCACAUAACAUCUACUUCUGAAAGUAUAUUUGGUGCCAUGCAGGUGUUUACAGCUUGUAGAUAGUAAUCUAAUACCUUAACCAUACACAAAAUUAAAUGAUACAUAUUUCUAAGGGACCCAGCAAUACCAUGAGAAUUACUGAAAGACAUUAGUACCAUGUAUCCAUACUACCUUAUUUUCAUUUUUAAUAGCAUUAUGAAACCUCAUGGACUUAAUUAGUGUAUUUUUACAGUAUACUUCUGAGUUUGUUAAAAUAUGAUAUUAGUGAUUGGGUUGGUUCAAUUCCAGAAUCUCUGACUAGUUACAGAUUUGAUAGCACUUAAAUGUAAUUGAAUAGCUUAUACUACAUUGCUUGGGGUGUAUCCAGCAUGUUAUGAACUAAUCACUAUUAAACCUAUGGCUUAACCGGUCAUUAAUGAUUUUUCAAGGAUAACUUAGUAGCCUCCUAAAGACACUUAAUUUUGUUUCAUUCAGACUCUGACCAGUUUUUAACCAAUUUAAACUGUAUCUAGUAUAAAUAGUUCUCUUUGAUGAUAUGACCGAGUGGGUUUUUCCUUUCACAUAAAGGCAAGUAACUGUAUAUGUAGCAUGGAUUUAAUUAGUCUUAUAAUAUUGAUAAUUACAGACAGGAAAAUUUUAAUCAAAUGAUUAGAGCUUAAAUAUUUGCAGGCAAUUUCUUUCACUUUAGGAAAAGAAAAAAGUACACAUUCACUUGUAUUUUUCAGAAAAUUUAGUGGUGCCAGUUUCCAUUGGGUAUUUCCUCAUUGAAAUAUUCCAGAGUUUUAGGGCAGUGGAGGGGAAUUUUGGUGGGGUGGGGGAGACCAGAGUGUGGAGAACGGCAGGGAGAGGAGAAGGCAAGGGUCUGCUUAAGAUCUAAGCAGAAGUAUAAUUUGACAAAAAAUACUCAUGAAAAAGUUUAGGAAUUGAAAUUUAAACUCCUAGAAUAUUAGUUAAGGAAACCAGAUUAAGAAAUCACACUCUUGCCAACACAGGUACAGACUAACAUUAUUCAGGGGAGGAAAAGUUCCUUAGAGUUACUUUUACAAUUCUAGUUCUAAUUUUUUAAAUUUUCUUCUUAAUUUUGGAAACCUUACAAAUUGAAACUUUCUUUAACCUUUUUAAAUUAUUUGAGUAUUAUUUAGAUAUUGUGAGCUUAAAGAGUUUCCAGACAACCUCUUUACCAUAAACUGAUCCCCAGCAAGGCAUGGCUCUCUUUUGCAAUGUUCAAAGCGUAUAAGUGAGUUCUUGAAUGACCAUGACAUUUUUCUGGUCUAGCCCUAGCAGUUGACUAUUAAGGGAGCUCGUAGUGCCGAUUGGGAUCUGCCAUCUUAGAAUCUUAGGGUGUUAGAUGGGUCACAUUGGAGCCAGUGGCAGAGAAGGCACCUAUGAGUUUGACAAGCCUCAGUGUUUGGAAAGUACUUCUAAACAACACUCCAAAAAAAAAAUUACUCUCUUCUUUCUCACCACUACAGAGAGAGUAGAUUUCUGCCCUAGAGAGCACAGCCUCCAUUAGUAAGGAUGGUGACUGUGUGUGAGAUGUGGACUUCAUCACUAAGGGCCGCAUGGGAGGUGGGGGAGGUCCAGAGAUGGCAGGGUGACCUGGUGGUGCUGUCUGUGGAGGGGGAUUGGGUUUUGCUGUUUUUGUAUUUAUACUGUAUAAUAGGUACCACACUUUUCCCUGUGUCUGUAUAUGUAUUGAUUUUCUUGUUAUGAUAUUUUCCCAUGCCAAUAUUUGUUUAUAUUUUUUUCAAUGUUAAAUUAAAUUGAUUUGGGUAACUUUUCUUCCCCAAGAAAGUAUUUUCCCCCAUGACUUAAGUAUGUAUCUGAUUACUGAAGAUGGUUUUUGUCUAGGGACUAGUGGCAUCUGACCAUCUAACCUUAUAUAAUAUGCAAUGUAGAAAUGCUAUACAGUGGCUUUUAUACAGCUACUCAUUUGAAACCUCUUACCCAAUAAGGCUGUUUCUUCAAAAUGGCAUCUCAUAUUUUAUCAAAACAAACCUUAAAGAACGUCAUGGACUCUUGAAUUCACAGGUGUUUUCCUUUUGCAUCUUGCCUUCUGCUUUCCUCCCAUCACAAGGAAUGCUUCUGUUAUAAUUCCCAGUCAGUUAAAUGCCAUUCUCCUUCCAUAGGGGGAAAAAUACCUGACUGAAUUCGCUUGCAUAAAGACAGCUCAACUGAAUUUGAUUUUAAAAUCAAUGUGGAAAACAUCAUAGUCAAUUCAAGCAAUCAGUAGAAAUCUCACUAAAACUAUUUGUACCCUGUGUUUGGGUAACAAACUAAAAGGCAAGAGUAUAGCAACAUUUUUAGUGAGAACCAAAAAGCACUAGCUUAAACAUCAAAGGGGGGUUUUGCAGGUUUGAUAAUUGGGUGCACUUGAACAACCAUCAGUAGUUAUGGUUGCUUCUGCGUUGUUGAGCAGUGGGACUCAAAAUCUAAGAUUCAUCUGGGAUGCUUAUGAAAAGAAAUGCAAUCUUGAACCUCACUCUUAGAAAUUUGGAUUUUAUUGAUUUAAGUGGAGACCAGGAAUCUGCAUGUCUAAGAAGCUUCCCAGGUGACUCUAAAGCAAGUCAUUUGUGGGCUACUUUAAGACACUCUUCUGCAGAGAAUGAGUUGGAUUAAGAAAAUAAUAGGUGAUUUCUACACUGGACUGAUUGACAAGAACCUAAAACAACAGUCAAGAUAGCUGCUCAUCUGUGAUGACUGUUGGCCCUUUUUUCACUCUGAAAAAAGCAGAAGGUAUCAUUAACUAUAUAUCCCCUUGGUCUGGAGAUUAAUUUUGGAAUGAAGGUUUUUCUGUCUAUGCCAUUCCUGGCUUGUUUCCAAAGCCUCAUACAAGAGGAUGAAGUCACAAUGCAUGCAUUAUUUUUCAGAAGAAUGAGAUAUAGAUACUGAUGCUCACUUUACUUGUUUUACUUCUUACAGAAGGUGUAUACCACCUCUCUGUGACAGUGUUCUCUCUUUAGGUGGAAUGAUUCCUAUGAGAUCUCUCAUUAUUACAGAAUUGUAAAAUUUUCAAGCUGUUUUAUCUUUGGUAUAAUCUGGUGUUCUCAUUAUUUAGAGAAGGAAACCUCCAUAUAGAGAGAGGAGAAAAUAUACCCAUGGUCACACAGCCAGUUAGUGUUUGGUUGGUGCUAGACUCCAUCCAGAUAUCCUAACUCAUGGUAGUUAAAUGAUAUGUAGAAAAGGCAAAUUUGUAAAGAAGUAUUUAUUAAUAUAUUCCUAUGAAACAUUUUAAAGAUAACGUAAAAUGGUUAAUUUUUCCAUUCUAAAGUAAAUGCUAAGCAUGCUUAUUAAUGAAGCAGUACUUCUAAUUAGUAUAUGACAUUCUGAAGUUAAUUAAAAUUGUUAACACUAAAUGUGUCUUCCUUGGUGUAGUGGGGAGUUUGGGGAUUGGGGUAUAGAGUGCUUGCUUAAGCCUGGGAGCCCAAAUUAUAGCUGUUUAAAGUAAGCAACGAGACAUGGCCAUAUCUAAACUAAGAUAUGUAAGGUGAGUGUCCAUUCCCAGCAGACAUAAAGGAAUAAGGAAACUUUCCUGACUCCCACCUUCCCAACCCCAACCAGCCUCACCUAAUCCAUCUUGCAGCCUGAAAUAUGGAGACAUGUUAGUGCAAGGUGCUGGCUCUUGCUUUUCUUAUUUCGUCAAGAGACAGUUCUAGGUAAUCAUUUGAGAAGUCCCUCAGAGAGAGAAAAAGUAUGUUUGUUUUUACAUGACCCAAAUACAAAUUUAUGUUGUAUUCAGCACAGUUGGAGUUCAGGUCUUUAAUUUUAGAACAUAAAGUGCCUGCUGUUUUAAGCAUUGACUUAUAUAAAAAGAACUGCAUGUCUCACUCCAGUAAGUUUAUGGGUUUUCUCAUUUUCAGCUACAUGGCUUUUAAUCAUGUAAAGUGAAACAUUAGUUUUGUUGCAUUUUAUUACAGGUUCUUUGUUGCAAUAAAGAUGCUGCUAAAAUAA